UACGAAGGGGGCUAGCGUUGCUCGGAAUCACUGGGCGUAAAGCGCACGUAGGCGGCUUUCUAAGUCAGGGGUGAAAUCCUGGAGCUCAACUCCAGAACUGCCUUUGAUACUGGCAAUCUCGAGUCCGGGAGAGGUGAGUGGAACUCCGAGUGUAGAGGUGAAAUUCGUAGAUAUUCGGAAGAACACCAGUGGCGAAGGCGGCUCACUGGCCCGGUACUGACGCUGAGGUGCGAAAAGCGUGGGGAGCAAACAGGG
rnacentral:rRNA from 1 species